rnacentral:rRNA from 1 species
AACGAACGCUGGCGGCAGGCUUAACACAUGCAAGUCGAACGAUGUAGCAAUACAUAGUGGCGCACGGGUGAGUAACGCGUGGGAAUAUACCUUAUAGUGGGGAAUAACGUUGGGAAACUAACGCUAAUACCGCAUACGCCCGAGAGGGGAAAGAUUUAUCGCGAAAAGAUUAGCCCGCGUGAGAAUAGGUAGGUGGUGGGGUAAUGGCCUAACAAACCUACGAUCUCUAGCUGGUCUGAGAGGAUGAUCAGCCAACCUGGAACUGAGACAAGGUCCAGACUCAUACGGGAGGGAGCAGUGGAGAAUAUUGGGAAAUGGAGGAAACUCUGACCCAGCAAUGCCGCGUGAAUGAUGAAGGCCUUAGGGUUGUAAAGUUCUUUCGCCGAUGAAGAUAAUGACGGUAGUCGGAGAAGAACCCCCGGCUAACUUCGUGCCAGCCGCCGCCGUAA